UACAGAGGUCUCAAGCGUUGUUCGGAAUCACUGGGCGUAAAGGGUGCGUAGGCCGCACGGUAAGUCAGAGGUGAAAUCCCGGAGCUCAACUCCGGAAUUGCCUCCGAUACUGCCGUGCUUGAGGACUGGAGAGGAGUCUGGAAUUCACAGUGGAGCAGUGAAAUGCGUAGAUAUUGUGAGGAACACUAGUGGCGAAGGCGAGACUCUGGACAGUUCCUGACGCUGAGGCACGAAGGCCAGGGGAGCAAACGGGAUUAGAAACCCCAGUAGUCC
rnacentral:rRNA from 1 species